rnacentral:lncRNA from 1 species
UUGGACUCAAAUGUCAACUGAUCAGAGCUAGUGUGAGAUGAAACCCACCUGCCUCCCACAUGUAAAGGAUACAUUAUCUGCCAUUAGAAUAUCAUGGUCCUGAUUACCUUCAACUGAAAAAGGCUGUUUUGUUUUCCAGAGAGCAAGUGGUCCUGAAUUAGUGUAAGACACAAUAGAUAAAGAAGAACAGAGUAAGUGGCUGAAGAGAUUAUAUAAUUCAUAAAAGCAUCAUGAAAGAUCAAUUGUUCUUAGUUCCUACUCUUUGUGUAACAUGAAGGCAGAAGG